rnacentral:rRNA from 1 species
GCUUCUUUCUUCCGGGGAUCGCAAUUGAGGGUGUGGUUUGCUGGCACAGCGUCCGCCCCAAGUAUUUUUCACCCAUGUCUUUUGCGAGAGUCUUCCUGGGCGAGUUCGCUCGCCACCAGGACCCAACAUAAACCUUUUUUUAUGCAGUUGCAAUCAGCGUCAGUAUAAUAAUUCAAUUUAUUAAAACUUUCAACAACGGAUCUCUUGGUUCUGGCAUCGAUGAAGAACGCAGCGAAAUGCGAUACGUAGUGUGAAUUGCAGAAUUCAGUGAAUCAUCGAAUCUUUGAACGCACAUUGCGCCCUUUGGUAUUCCAAAGGGCAUGCCUGUUCGAGCGUCAUUUGUACCCUCAAGCUUUGCUUGGUGUUGGGCGUCUUUUUGUCUCUCCCCUUGUUGGGGGAGACUCGCCUUAAAACGAUUGGCAGCCGACCUACUGGUUUUCGGAGCGCAGCACAAAUUUGCGCCUUCCAAUCCACGGGGCGGCAUCCAGCAAGCCUUUGUUUUCUAUAACAAAUCCACAUUUUGACCUCGGAUCAGGUAGGGAUACCCGCUGAACUUAAGCAUAUCAAUAAGCGGAGGAA